rnacentral:rRNA from 1 species
AGUGAACGCUGGCGGUAGGCCUAACGCAUGCAAGUCGAACGGCAGCACAGUAAGAGCUUGCUCUUACGGGUGGCGAGUGGCGGACGGGUGAGGAAUACAUCGGAAUCUACUUUUUCGUGGGGGAUAACGUAGGGAAACUUACGCUAAUACCGCAUACGACCUACGGGUGAAAGCAGGGGAUCUUCGGACCUUGCGCGAUUGAAUGAGCCGAUGUCGGAUUAGCUAGUUGGCGGGGUAAAGGCCCACCAAGGCGACGAUCCGUAGCUGGUCUGAGAGGAUGAUCAGCCACACUGGAACUGAGACACGGUCCAGACUCCUACGGGAGGCAGCAGUGGGAAAUAUUGGACAAUGGGCGCAAGCCUGAUCCAGCCAUACCGCGUGGGUGAAGAAGGCCUUCGGGUUGUAAAGCCCUUUUGUUGGGAAAGAAAAGCAGCAGGUUAAUACCCCGCUGUUCUGACGGUACCCAAAGAAUAAGCACCGGCUAACUUCGUG